ACCUGCCCAUCAGAGGGGGAUAACAUUCGGAAACGGAUGCUAAAACCGCAUAGGUUCUUGAGUCGCAUGACUCGGGAAGGAAAAGAGGCUUCGGCUUCUGCUGAUGGAUGGACCCGCGGUGCAUUAGCUAGUUGGUGAGGUAACGGCUCACCAAGGCCGUGAUGCAUAGCCGACCUGAGAGGGUGAUCGGCCACAUUGGGACUGAGACACGGCCCAAACUCCUACGGGAGGCAGCAGUAGGGAAUCUUCCGCAAUGGACGCAAGUCUGACGGAGCAACGCCGCGUGAGUGAAGAAGGAUUUCGGUUCGUAAAACUCUGUUGUUAGAGAAGAACAGCGCAUAGAGUAACUGUUAUGCGUGUGACGGUAUCUAACCAGAAAGCCACGGCUAACUACGUGCCAGCAGCCGCGGUAAUACGUAGGUGGCAAGCGUUGUCCGGAUUUAUUGGGCGUAAAGCGAGCGCAGGCGGUCAAUUAAGUCUGAUGUGAAAGCCCCCGGCUCAACCGGGGAGGGUCAUUGGAAACUGGUUGACUUGAGUGCAGAAGAGGAGAGUGGAAUUCCAUGUGUAGCGGUGAAAUGCGUAGAUAUAUGGAGGAACACCAGUGGCGAAGGCGACUCUCUGGUCUGUAACUGACGCUGAGGCUCGAAAGCGUGGGUAGCAAACAGGAUUAGAUACCCUGGUAGUCCACGCCGUAAACGAUGAGUGCUAAGUGUUGGAGGGUUUCCGCCCUUCAGUGCUGCAGUUAACGCAUUAAGCACUCCGCCUGGGGAGUACGACCGCAAGGUUAAACUCAAAGGAAUUGACGG
rnacentral:rRNA from 1 species